UACGUAGGCAGCGAGCGUUGUUCGGAAUUACUGGGCGUAAAGAGUGUGUAGGCGGUGCUCCCAGUCUGUUGUGAAAUCUCCCGGCUUAACUGGGAGGGUGCAGCGGAAACUAGAGUGCUAGAGGGUGGGAGAGGUAAGCGGAAUUCCUGGUGUAGCGGUGAAAUGCGUAGAUAUCAGGAGGAACACCCGUGGCUAAGGCGGCUCUCUAGUACGGUACUGACGCUGAUGUGCGAAAGCGUGGGGAGCAAACAGG
rnacentral:rRNA from 1 species